GAGACCCCAGGUCAGGCGGGGCUACCCGCUGAAUU
rnacentral:rRNA from 1 species